AGCAGUCGCCGCGGUAAUACGGAGGAUCCAAGCGUUAUCCGGAAUCAUUGGGUUUAAAGGGUCCGUAGGCGGUCUUGUAAGUCAGUGGUGAAAGCCCAUCGCUCAACGGUGGAACGGCCAUUGAUACUGCAGGACUUGAAUUAUUGGGAAGUAACUAGAAUAUGUAGUGUAGCGGUGAAAUGCUUAGAGAUUACAUGGAAUACCAAUUGCGAAGGCAGGUUACUACCAAUUGAUUGACGCUGAUGGACGAAAGCGUGGGUAGCGAACAGGAUUAGAUACCCGCGUAGUCCCUGUCUCUUAUAC
rnacentral:rRNA from 1 species